GAUGAACGCUGGCGGCGUGCUUAACACAUGCAAGUCGAACGAUGAAGCCCAGCUUGCUGGGUGGAUUAGUGGCGAACGGGUGAGUAACACGUGAGCAACCUGCCCCUGACUCUGGGAUAAGCGCUGGAAACGGCGUCUAAUACUGGAUAUGUCCCGUCACCGCAUGGUGUGCGGGUGGAAAGAUUUUUCGGUUGGGGAUGGGCUCGCGGCCUAUCAGCUUGUUGGUGAGGUAAUGGCUCACCAAGGCGUCGACGGGUAGCCGGCCUGAGAGGGUGACCGGCCACACGGGGACUGAGACACGGCCCAGACUCCUACGGGAGGCAGCAGUGGGGAAUAUUGCACAAUGGGCGGAAGCCUGAUGCAGCAACGCCGCGUGAGGGAUGACGGCCUUCGGGUUGUAAACCUCUUUUAGCAGGGAAGAAGCGAAAGUGACGGUACCUGCAGAAAAAGCACCGGCUAACUACG
rnacentral:rRNA from 1 species